CACUUCCUCCACUCACACUUCCAGAGAGCUUGGGUUACAGAUAUAUCACCAUCCCUCCCUGGCCACUCACAUUUUUAACACUGCUUUGGUUGAAAGAUACAGUUUGAGACGAGGAGAGGCUCCAUUUGUGGGACCAAGUGCCAAAGAGGAGUGUGAUGUUCUUGUUCAGAACUCAUGAAGGAUUUCAAGUGACAGCAUCAGAGUGUUAACCCCAAAGGGCAUACAUCCCUUGGAGUGUGGGGCCCAGGUGUGGGAAGCAUCCUGGGCUCUUCAUGGGGUCCCAUGAAGCCAUCUGCUCAUGACUGCGUGCCUUGGGUCUGAGGGAACCCCCACACUGCCUUGACCAAUAAACUGUAGCAGAAGUGACAUUGUGACAGUUUCUAAGAUGAGUCACCGAGAGAACUCCACUUAGAAUGUCCUGGAACGCUCUGGAAGCCCGUGAACAGAGUCCCACGCUGGUGAGGUCAUGUGCAGGUGGCAGCCUCAGCCAGGCCCAGAUUUCCAGCCAUCCUUUCCCAAGCCAACAGUGAGAAGGAGGAUGGUUCCCAGACGGUACCCACAGCAUCGCCUUGAAGCUUAGUAGGGAUCUGGUCCUCAGACACCACCACGGAGCCAACAAAGUCUGCAGGAUGAGACCAGGCAGCCAUGAUGGUUGGGAUACAUCCUGCCAUCUGAGACACUGCGGAGGGAUAGGACUCAGCCUUGCUGCUCAUUAAAAUCACCUCAGGAACUUGGCAGAAAAGAAAACUGAUGCCUAGGCUUCAUCUCAGACCCGUUAGAUCAGAGCCUCCCAGGAAUGGGGUCUGUACAUCAUUGGCUUUUAAAAGCUCCAUGGAGAUUUAGUCGGUAGUCAAGGUUGAAAACCAAUGGUUUCAUCUCUGCCACCUGCCAUCUUAUUUCCAACGUGCACAGUCCCUUUUGGAGGGCGCACACAGCCCUUGGAUGCAGGAAGCCAAUGAUUUCUUUCCCACUGCUGAAUGUCCCUUCAUUUCUCUAGUUCAGAGCUAUUCUCUCUCCCAUCCCAACCUCUGCCUCUUGUUCUGCUACUGAAAUGAAUAUACUCUCGAUUUCUUACUGCACUCAGUACCCACAUGCCAUUAGCAGAUUCACUACUGAAGUCUCAACUCAGGCUGACUGCAUUUGUGGCAGAGACUACAAGGAGGUGAUGCGGGGUAUAUGAGACUGUAAGGACUGAGCUCUAAUCCUUGGAGCUGCAGGAAGAGAGCUGCAGAGCCCAGGAAGAACCUCGAUGAGCUGAGAGAAGGAACCUUAGAACAAGCGACACCUCCAUCUGGGACUUCCCAACAGCCAAAACUCGCUUGAGAAAUAAAUUAAUGUUGUUUAAGCUA